rfam:Ipomoea nil DNA, scaffold: scaffold0140, cultivar: Tokyo-kokei standard.
AAGUUUUGUUUAGUAGCCAAGGAUGACUUGCCUAUACUACUUGAAACUUUAAUUAUAUUUCUCAAAAGAAAACUUAAUUGUUGGGGUUACAGGCAAGUCAUCUUUAGCUAACUUAACAUGCUUCU